UGGGUGACAGAGAAUGGAUUCCAGGGCUCACUGUGUUCUUAAACCUUCGUACUCCAGAGGGCAAAGGAUACACAUUGCAUUAGAGGUGGAGCUCUCUUCAUUGAAUCCUAACAGGGACUGGCUGUAAAAUGUGGCUGCCUGCCAUGGGCAACAUUUGUAGCUUUUUAGGCUCCUGCAAUCUUUGGUAUCCUUGGGCUUUCUGGAGGACAAAGCAGGCAUUACUCAAUGAUACAAGGGUGGGAAUGGAGAAAGAAAAGAAAGCGUCUAAAAGACUUGUCCUGAAGAGGAUACAGCCAGGAGUAGAACUCUCCGUUUAUAGGAGUAUACAGUGUUGA
rnacentral:lncRNA from 1 species